AUUGAACGCUGGCGGCAGGCCUAACACAUGCAAGUCGAACGGUAACAGAAAGCAGCUUGCUGCUUUGCUGACGAGUGGCGGACGGGUGAGUAAUGUCUGGGAAACUGCCUGAUGGAGGGGGAUAACUACUGGAAACGGUAGCUAAUACCGCAUAACGUCGCAAGACCAAAGAGGGGGACCUUCGGGCCUCUUGCCAUCGGAUGUGCCCAGAUGGGAUUAGCUAGUAGGUGGGGUAACGGCUCACCUAGGCGACGAUCCCUAGCUGGUCUGAGAGGAUGACCAGCCACACUGGAACUGAGACACGGUCCAGACUCCUACGGGAGGCAGCAGUGGGGAAUAUUGCACAAUGGGCGCAAGCCUGAUGCAGCCAUGCCGCGUGUAUGAAGAAGGCCUUCGGGUUGUAAAGUACUUUCAGCGGGGAGGAAGGGAGUAAAGUUAAUACCUUUGCUCAUUGACGUUACCUGCAGAAGAAGCACCGGCUAACUCCGUG
rnacentral:rRNA from 1 species